rnacentral:rRNA from 1 species
UACAGGGGGUGCAAACGUUGCUCGGAAUUAUUGGGCGUAAAGCGCGCGUAGGCGGCUACUUAAGUCGGAUGUGAAAGCCCCUGGCUCAACUGGGGAAGUGCACCCGAAACUGAGUGGCUUGAGUACUAAAGAGGGUCGCGGAAUUCCCGGUGUAGAGGUGAAAUUCGUAGAUAUCGGGAGGAAUACCAGUGGCGAAGGCGGCGACCUGGGCCAAUACUGACGCUGAGGUGCGAAAGCGUGGGGAGCAAACAGG